GCCGUCCCCGCAAGAUAAAUCAAACCCCGUCGUGCGAACGCUAGAACAACCUUGGCCCGAGUGGGUGGGGAUUCAGAAGAGGGAGGAAGGGGGCGGAUCAGAGCCGAGGAAGGGAGCUAACAGGCGGUCGGUCGCUUCAAUUUGAGCUAAGCUGGGACCGGCUCGGGAAGGGUUAACGCGGCGGCAGUUCCUCUCCGGUGCUCCCCGCAGAGCCUGUUAUGGCCUUUAAGCAGACGUCGCUAAUGCAUCCCGCACCAGCCCCCUUUCGGGCUGCCACUGGGGUUUCCUGCUUGUGCGACAGGCACUGAGCCGAGCGCGGCAGCCUUCCUGCGAGCCAGCUGCCUACGGAGCAGAGCCCGGGAACCGACGGAGGCAACGAGCCUUCCCUUAGCUGAUAUACCCUGAGCCCGGGUUCCUCAGGUGCGGCGCUUGCACUCAGUCGGGAGCUUGCAGACAACAGACCCAAGGAAUCACCAUGUGGUCUCACUUCCUGGGAACAGUUCCUGAAGGCCAAGGCUGUCAGAUUUCCAUCCUAACAAAACACUGACAAUGAGAAACGGCUGGUGUUUUUAUCUGAGAAAGGAACUUUGAAUGGAUUUGCCAUGGUGACAUGAAAAAGGACCAGGAUGGAUAAUAGACUGUCACAGGGGCAAUUCCAUACCCGUAUGGCCUCUUUGUGAAACUUAUCUCCA